UAAGCGCCGGAUGAGCCUUCACCGAGCUCUGGCACUGACGAACAAGAAGAGAAGGGGAAGGAGCUAACAGAGCUAGAGGACAAUGGUGAUGGUUUCUAUGUGGGUGAUGAGGAGGAAAAAUAUGGUGAGAAAGCAAUAACUGUGAUAGAGGAAGAUGAUGAUAUUCAAGAAGAAGAUGUGAAAACAGAGGACGAGGCUCCUCCUGUUGUGCCCUGGAAGAUGAACCUUAGGAGUAAGAAGAGGAAGCGCCAAGAUCACCAUAGAAAGCCCAAGAAAACCACAAAGAAAUCAAAAUCUAUAGCAAAACGUCAGAAGCAGAACCAAGUGGUAGCAGUACCCCGAUCGGAGUAACAAGAAAUUGGUAAAACACACAGUGGCAAGAUGGUCUGCAGGGAGGUACAAGGCUGCAGAGGAAAGCGUGACGAAGGCCAAGGGUGCUAAAUUCGGGACCCCAAUACUGAGGCCAGCGCUGAGGUCUGAGGCAAGGAAGCUGAUUGGGGAUACGGGUUUGUUGGACCAUUUGCUCAAACACAUGGCGGCCAAGGUGGCGCCAGGUGGAGCCCAGAGGUUUAGGCGGCGGCACAAUGCUGAUGGAGCCAUGGAGUAUUGGCUGGAGAGUGCUGAUCUGUUUAAUAUCAGAAAGCGAGCUGAUGGAGCCAUGGGGGUGCUUCUUCAUGUGUCCAAGAAUAAAGAGGAUAAUCUAGCUCUAGUGACCACGUCAAAUUCCUGUUUGACAAGUCUUGACUGGGAACAUGAUGGUUCAUUAAUCCACCAAAAGGAGUAUGCAUGCAGUGCUGCUAACAAUGGAGCAAAAUAAGAUUAGAGAAAAACUUAGGGAAAUGUCUCAAUUUCUGUCUGUAAUGGAGGAGGAGCAUGCAGAGCAAAUCGUUAAGAAAACUAAGAUGGAAGAACAACUAAUGGAUGUUUCUCAAUCUUUAUCUGAAAUGAAGGAACAAAUUGGGCAGGGAAGAACCACUUAAGUAUCUCCGAUGCACCACCGCCAUCAGACACUGGUCAAAGAGCAGUGACAAAAUCAAAGGGUGGGGAGCAAGAAGAAGAAGAAGAUAAGCUUGGAGGAGGAGACAAUAAUGCAGCCAGCAGCCAGCAGCCAGCAGCCACAGCAACUCACGAGGACAAGGCAACCAAAAUACAGAGACUGAGGAGUGGUUUCAGGAUAUGCAGGCCACAAGGGUCCUUUCUGUGGCCAAACAUGGGCAUCUCUACCCCCCCUCAGCCACCCACCUCAUCAUACCUAUACCUCCUUAGCCUCAGCCUGGAUCUCCUGUCAAGCCUGUAGCCUAGCUAUAAACCCUCUGCCUCUCCUCCUAUUUUUGUUCCACCUGGUCCCCCCUCCAAGUCCAAGAGAAGUGUCACCGUCACCAACACCCUCCUCAUCAACCUUAAUGAGCUCCCCAACCCUAACCCUAGUAUAACCUCCAAAACGCCUCUGAAACUAGCACUGCAUUGUCUAGGACCCUCACCUACCAGAGAAGACACCAUCAUCAGCAAUAUCCACGUGUGAGGAGGAGCAUGAAGAGCAAAUCGUUAAGAAAACUAAGAUGGAAGAACAACUAAUGGUUGUUUCUCAAUCUUUGUCUGAAAUGUAGGAGUAUGCAGUGCUGCUAACAAUGGAGCAAGAUAAUAUUAGAGAACAACCUAGGGAACUGUUUCAAUUUCUGUCUGUAACGGAGUGCAGGAACAACUUGGAAUUCUGAAACCAGUAAGUAUCUCAGAAGCACUAGAAGCACCACCGCCAUCAGAUAUUGAUCAAAGAGAAGAGACAAACUCAAAGGGUGGGGAGCAAGAAGAAGAAGAUAAGUUAAUGUUUUCCUUUGAACUGUUUUAACUACAUCAGGUUGUGGUGGGGAGUUUUCUACCAGGUCACCAGCAUGGGCAUCUCUACCCCACCCUCAGCCACCCACCUCAUCCCUAUACCUCCUUAGCCUCAGCCUGGGUCUCCUGUGCAAUGUGAGCUAUAAACCCUCUGCCUCUCCUCCUAUUUUUCUUCCACCUGGGCCCCCCUCCAAGUCCAAGAGAAGUGUCACCGUCACCAACACCCUCCUCAUCAACCUUAAUGAGCUCCCCAACCCUAACCCUAGUAUAACCUCCAAAACGCCUCUGAAACUAGCACUGCAUUGUCUAACACCCUUCAUCCACUUGGAAUUGGUGCUGCAACAUUGCCCGACAUCUAGAAAGCUUUCCCAUGAUUAUUGUUUCUUUGUUUGUUGUAGUGUUUUUCAAGGAUGGGGUUAUGAGAUUUUUUUUUUCUUUGAGGAAGGGAUAUUCUAUUGUUAAAU